rnacentral:rRNA from 1 species
GGAGGCGCAGGGAAACCGAGUCUUAAUAGGGCGACUAGUUGCAUGGAUUAGACCCGAAACCUGGCGAUCUAUCCAUGGUCAGGCUGAAGGUUGGGUAACACUAACUGGAGGGCCGAACCCACGUAUGUUGAAAAAUGCGGGGAUGAACUGUGGAUCGGAGUGAAAGGCUAAUCAAGCCAGGAGAUAGCUGGUUCUCCUCGAAAGCUAUUUAGGUAGCGCCUCAUGUAUCACUCUUGGGGGUAGAGCACUGUUUGGGCU